rnacentral:rRNA from 1 species
GUUGUAUAGUCAAGUAAUUAAGUGCAUGUGGUGGAUGCCUUGGCAGUCAGAGGCGAUGAAAGACGUGAUAGCCUGCGAAAAGCUCCGGGGAGGCGGCAAAUAUCCUUUGAUCCGGAGAUGUCUGAAUGGGGGAACCCACCUACUUUAAGGUAGGUAUUGCAACAUGAAUACAUAGUGUUGCAAGGCGAACGAGGGGAAGUGAAACAUCUCAGUACCCUUAGGAAAAGAAAUCAAUUGAGAUUCCCUCAGUAGCGGCGAGCGAACGGGGAUCAGCCCAUUAAGUUAUGUGUGUUUUAGUGGAACGCUCUGGGAAGUGCGAACGUAGAGGGUGAUAUUCCCGUACACGAAAGGGCACACAUAAUGAUGACGAGUAGGGCGAGGCACGUGAAACCUUGUCUGAAUAUGGGGGGACCAUCCUCCAAGGCUAAAUACUCCUGACUGACCGAUAGUGAACCAGUACCGUGAGGGAAAGGCGAAAAGAACCCCUGUGAGGGGAGUGAAAUAGAUCCUGAAACCGCAUGCAUACAAGCAGUGGGAGCACCUUCGUGGUGUGACUGCGUACCUUUUGUAUAAUGGGUCAGCGACUUAUAUUCAGUAGCAAGGUUAACCGUAUAGGGGAGCCGUAGAGAAAUCGAGUCUUAAUAGGGCGUUUAGUUGCUGGGUAUAGACCCGAAACCAGGCGAUCUAUCCAUGAGCAGGUUGAAGGUUGGGUAACACUAACUGGAGGACCGAACCCACUGUCGUUGAAAAGCCAGGGGAUGACUUGUGGAUAGGGGUGAAAGGCUAAUCAAGCCUGGUGAUAGCUGGUUCUCCCCGAAAGCUAUUUAGGUAGCGCCUCGGACGAAUACCAUAGGGGGUAGAGCACUGUUUCGGCUAGGGGGUCAUCCCGACUUACCAAACCGAUGCAAACUCCGAAUACCUAUGAGUACUAUCCGGGAGACAGACUGCGGGUGCUAACGUCCGUAGUCAAGAGGAAAACAAUCCAGACCGCCAGCUAAGGCCCCAAAAUCAUAGUUAAGUGGGAAACGAUGUGGGAAGGCAUAGACAGCUAGGAGGUUGGCUUAGAAGCAGCCACCCUUUAAAGAAAGCGUAAUAGCUCACUAGUCGAGUCGGCCUGCGCGGAAGAUGUAACGGGGCUAAAACUAUGUGCCGAAGCUGCGGANNNNNNNNNNNNNNNNNNNNNNNNNNNAUGCUGGAGGUAUCAGAAGUGCGAAUGCUGACGUGAGUAACGACAAAACGGGUGAAAAACCCGUUCGCCGAAAGACCAAGGGUUCCAGUCCAACGUUAAUCGGGGCUGGGUGAGUCGACCCCUAAGGCGAGGCCGAAAGGCGUAGUCGAUGGGAAAAUGGUUAAUAUUCCAUUACUUCUGUGUAAUGCGAUGAGAGGACGGAGAAGGCUAAAUCAGCCUGGCGUUGGUUGUCCAGGUGAAAGGAUGUAGGCAUGUAUCUUAGGCAAAUCCGGGGUACUCUAUGCUGAGAUCUGAUAGCAAGCUGUACUUGUACAGCGAAGUGGUUGAUGCCAUGCUUCCAGGAAAAGUCUCUAAGCUUCAGUUACACAGGAAUCGUACCCGAAACCGACACAGGUGGUCAGGUCGAGUAGACCAAGGCGCUUGAGAGAACUCUGCUGAAGGAACUAGGCAAAAUGGUACCGUAACUUCGGGAGAAGGUACGCUGUUGUUGGUGAUGGAACUCGCUUCCUGAGCUGACGACAGCCGCAGAAACCAGGCCGCUGCAACUGUUUAUUAAAAACAUAGCACUCUGCAAACACGAAAGUGGACGUAUAGGGUGUGAUGCCUGCCCGGUGCUGGAAGGUUAAUUGAUGGGGUUAGCGUAAGCGAAGCUCUUGAUCGAAGCCCCAGUAAACGGCGGCCGUAACUAUAACGGUCCUAAGGUAGCGAAAUUCCUUGUCGGGUAAGUUCCGACCUGCACGAAUGGCAUAAUGAUGGCGGCGCUGUCUCCAGCAGAGGCUCAGUGAAAUCGAAAUCGCUGUGAAGAUGCAGUGUACCCGCGGCUAGACGGAAAGACCCCGUGAACCUUUACUGCAGCUUGACACUGAACUUUGACCUUACUUGUGUAGGAUAGGUGGGAGGCUUUGAAGCUGGAACGCUAGUUCCAGUGGAGCCGUCCUUGAAAUACCACCCUGGUAAUGUUGAGGUUCUAACUCUGUCCCGUGAUCCGGGACGAGGACCGUGUCUGGUGGGUAGUUUGACUGGGGCGGUCUCCUCCUAAAGAGUAACGGAGGAGUACGAAGGUGCGCUCAGCGUGGUCGGAAAUCACGCGUAGAGUAUAAAGGCAAAAGCGCGCUUAACUGCGAGACCCACAAGUCGAGCAGGUACGAAAGUAGGUCUUAGUGAUCCGGUGGUUCUGUAUGGAAGGGCCAUCGCUCAACGGAUAAAAGGUACUCUGGGGAUAACAGGCUGAUACCGCCCAAGAGUUCAUAUCGACGGCGGUGUUUGGCACCUCGAUGUCGGCUCAUCUCAUCCUGGGGCUGAAGCAGGUCCCAAGGGUAUGGCUGUUCGCCAUUUAAAGAGGUACGCGAGCUGGGUUUAGAACGUCGUGAGACAGUUCGGUCCCUAUCUACCGUGGGCGCUGGAAAUUUGAGAGGAUCUGCUCCUAGUACGAGAGGACCAGAGUGGACGAACCUCUGGUGUACCGGUUGUGACGCCAGUCGCAUCGCCGGGUAGCUAUGUUCGGAAGGGAUAACCGCUGAAAGCAUCUAAGCGGGAAGCCUACCUCAAGAUAAGAUUUCCCUAGGACUUUAUGUCCUCUAAAGAGCCGUUCGAGACUAGGACGUUGAUAGGUUGGAUGUGGAAGCAUAGUGAUAUGUGAAGCUGACCAAUACUAAUUGCUCGUGAGGCUUGACUAUACAACACCCAAGCAGUUG